rnacentral:hammerhead_ribozyme from 1 species
AUCUAACUGAUGAAUCCUAAAUAGGACGAAACGCGCUUCUUGAAC